rnacentral:lncRNA from 1 species
UGACAAGAAAUUUCUAAUCUAGUUCUGUUAAUUAUUGUUAUAUCUGUGUGAAAUAGCAUAUAGUAGAUCAUUGUUUGAAUUCAAAUUCACAAAUUCAAACCGGCUUUUGUUAACUUUGUCGGACUGAGUUGGUGUGGUCGUAUAAACUUAACAUCACAAAGAAGACAACAACGCUUUACAUCUGCAAUUCAAUUUCUCAUUUCUACACAAGGGUUUGGUGAUCAUCAUGAUAUAGCAACCAAAUGGUUUGGUUAACAAAGAUGUGGAUAUCACUAAUGAGAGUUACCAAACUAAGCUUGUGUGGUCGUAUAAAACAAGAAGACCACAGCACUUUAAGAGUUAUAAAGUCUCAUUGGUAGCUGUUGUUUGGGAAGAUUCCCUACCAACAACUGAUUCUCAAGAGUUAUAAUUCACAU